ACCAAAUUCCUGUAAUCAAGGGAUGACAUCAACAAUAAGAGAUUCAAGCAACCACCUCCUCCCAAAAAUAGCAAACUUCUCCACUUCCUCCUCCACAAUUCAAGGGUCCGCCACUCAAGGGAGAAAAUGAAGGGAUUCCCUUGCUAAAAAUAGAAAGAGAUGUUGGGGCUUGAACAAGUAUAAAUAGGGGUAUUCAUUUAUUCAUUUGGGGGACACCAGAUUAGGCAAACACACCAGAAUUAAGAGAAAAUUCGAGAGAGAGUUCUUCAAUUCAAGAAAUCGCAAUAUUUUUUAGAACAAUUGGAAAAGCAGAAACUUGAGUGCAUAAAGGAGAGAUUGACGCCCAAAAGAGGAGGAGAGUGAUCGUGAGAAGCAAGCAAGAAGCGAUUGUAGAAAAUUCCCUGCAUUUGAUUGUUAUCUCUUCUUAUUCUGCAUUAUCCAAGGAUAACCCCCCUCGACAUUUCUUCUUCCCUUUCUUUUAUCUUUAUUUUGCUUUUAUUGUUGACAAACAUGAUUGCAACUAUCUUUCUGUUUUCAUUCAAUGAUUAGGACUUAAUUUCGUUUCUACUAGAAUGAUUAUGAAUCUUUAAGUAUGUAUUCUUAACUUUAUGUUAGGGAUGUUUUGUUCAAGCGAUUAUUCAUUCAUUCAAGUUGAAUUAUUGUUAAUGCUUAAAAAUGCAUGGCCAACAUUAGUAAGGAAAUGAAUUAAUUAUUUAAUUUGAGAAGAGGUAAUAGUUAAUAGACAUAGACUUAAAUGGUACAUAUCAUGUUGAUAUCGAAAGAUGGAUGUUGUAUGCAAAAACUAUAUGUAUUGCCUGAGAGGGUGAUUUUAUUGUUAGUUUGGCAUAAACAUAUGUGAGUUAACUAACAGACAUAAAUAGGACUUGGAAAUUGCCACAAUUUAUCGUAACAUUCUCUAACAUAAGUGUCAAUGAUCACUACUUAAAGAGAAUUAAUUGUUCUAGCAUAUUCAUGUCAUAUUUGUUAAAUCUUGUGUUAUAGUUUUCUUCUACCAUUAUCUUUUAUACUGUGUUAUUUUAUUUUGUUUGCAUCCUUGGUGUGCUUAGUAUUUAAUUUCUUACCCCAAUUCAAUAUUUUUAUUUGCCACUUUUCAAAUUCUUAAUUAUAAUUUUUGAAAAUAAUUUAAAUAUGAUUGUACUAGACGAACUUACCAGAAAAUAUCAGAAAUUAACAAGACGUCAAGGACACUAAUCCACUAAUUUGCCUUUUCCACGAUUAUCUAAGAGUUGGUCCAAAUCCCGAUCUAUACAUUUAUUUAAUUCAAAGUAUCAAAUCCAAACAUUUUA
rnacentral:lncRNA from 1 species